GGGUCUAUAGCUCAACUGGUAGAGCGCCGGUCUCCAAAGCCGGUGGCUGGUGGGGGUUCGAGUCCCUCUCGGCCUG
rnacentral:tRNA from 1 species